rnacentral:rRNA from 1 species
CCUACGGGAGGCAGCAGUGAGGAAUAUUGGUCAAUGGACGAGAGUCUGAACCAGCCAAGUAGCGUGAAGGAUGACUGCCCUAUGGGUUGUAAACUUCUUUUAUAAAGGAAUAAAACGAGGCACGUGUGCCUUUUUGCAUGUACUUUAUGAAUAAGGAUCGGCUAACUCCGUGCCAGUAGCCGCGGUAAUACGGAGGAUCCGAGCGUUAUCCGGAUUUAUUGGGUUUAAAGGGAGCGUAGAUGGGUUGUUAAGUCAGUUGUGAAAGUUUGCGGCUCAACCGUAAAAUUGCAAUUGAUACUGGCAGUCUGGAGUACAGUUGAGGUAGGCGGAAUUCGUGGUGUAGCGGUGAAAUGCUUAGAUAUCACGAAGAACCCCGAUUGCGAAGGCAGCUUACUAAACUGUGACUGACAUUGAUGCUCGAAAGUGUGGGUAUCAAACAGGAUUAGAUACCCCUGUAGUC